GGGGAUGUAGCUCAGUUUGGGAGAGCGCGGCGUUCGCAAUGCCGAGGCCAGGGGUUCGAACCCCCUCAUCUCCACCA
rnacentral:tRNA from 1 species